rnacentral:lncRNA from 1 species
GAAAGCCUUGGAGGUCCUCAGCAACUGAUUCAAAUGGUAAUCCAAACCAGGGAGGAAAAACCUUUCUUUGUCUGGAACAGAGACCUGGGCCACCUCAGUGUCCAACUCAGAGCUGGGGAGAGUGUCAGACAUCACUCUCAUCCCAGGGCCUUCUGUGUCCCAUGAGUGCUCUGAGUACAUUGUGGUAUCUGGCCAUGGCUCCAAAGAGUGUGUCCUUCAGUGAAUCAGCUAGGCAAGAGAAAAGUAAUGGACUGCUGCCCCACUUCCAGUGAGAGAGGCUCUCACAGCUGGAAAAGUAAAACAGAAUUCCAGGGAGAGUCUGUUGGGAGGUCCCGGAAGUAGAAGGAGGACCAUGAGAGAGGAAACAGAGGUCUUAAGAGAGGGGUCAUUUCACGAACUGCAGAAACAAACCUCUGACUUCUCAGCCCUGUGAGCAUCCCAAGCAUUCAGGUGGAUAUGGAGUUCAGCUCACCCUUUCAUUGGCCUAGUCUGAGUGCAGUAAGGCAAUGCAUGAAGGCCCACAUCCAGAGGACAAAACCCUCGAUGGAGAUAUGGCUGCAAACACUAGGGUAUCCUUCUGAUAACCCAGGCAAUUAGGACUGGGGACCUAAGGACAAAGGAAAUGGAGUCCAAGAACAAAGGCUUCUCAUGCAGGAGAGCUCAGAAUUCCAAUGUUGGGGCUCACCGCCUUCCUGCUGUCCACUGGCACUGUGCCGCAAGUAUGGAGCAGCCUAACAGAGCCUCGACUAUUGAGAAGACUGGCAGAAGGGACCACUAAGCCCUGCAAGAUGGUCUGGAGCAAGGCAGAGGAAAUGCUCUCAAGAACAGAUGGGGCUGGGCUGCAGGUGUUUCUAAUAUACUGUGGAUGAAGAUGUGAUCAGCCCUACCACCAUGCUCUCCCAGCUUGCUGCCAUGCCUUCUCCACUGAUGUGGACUCUACUGGAACCCUAAGCCAAAAUAAAGGUUUU